AGCUGAAACGAGGAGAGCACAGCAGGUAGAGUUGACUCCGGAGGAGGAGAGGUGGAAGCGAGAAGGGUCACGAGUGAAGAGUGAAGGCUAUUUGAGUUGACAUUUAUCGAGUUUGCAGCAGGAGCGAUGGGUGAAACAAAGUGCAAGACGUGGGGAUGAGUCAAGAGGCAAGAUCAUUGAACUGCAGCACAUCUACCUCAAUCAUCUGCAUUUGGGUCCUACCCCUGUAUUCCUGCUUCUCUGCUUGCACCAGCCGUGGAAAUUGGUUUCUUUAUCCAUGAAUGAUAAUGAUCUUUCCCCAACCUUAACUAAGUAUUGCAAGUGUUGCCUAACCAUAACCAUCAAAGAAAUGCUUUGAACCUAAUCCAGAGGUUUGCAGAGUCAUUCAAUUGCAAUGUUGGGUUGUUUUAGAUGUCUAAACAGUGUCACAUUUGCUCAUGUCUCAUCUGAUACCACUGUAGACAUUUUCGUUAUGACCUUCAGUGAAUGGUUUUACUUACCUAACCCCCUAAUCAUGUUGCAACCAUAUUUGAUUUCCAAUAUAUUAGGAAUAAACCAACUGAAAAAUCCAUUUUAUAUGAACAUAAUCCAGACCCAAAAUUGCAGCCCAUCUCCCCCAGGACCAGUAACCAAUCGAGUGUUGAAGCAUAAUCAUCGGGAAGUGAGGGAGAGGACCAAUUUACAUCAGCAGCUAACAAAAAAAUGUCACAAUCCCCUCUAGGAAUUCCACUCAGAGGGGAAAUGCCUUGCUAGCAUCCAGCCCCGCCCGGCUCCUCUCAGCUGGGAGACGUCUGCCUGCCUCAUACCCUUUCAUCACUGCCAGAGUGACUCAGGAAUGAGAUUUACAUUUCACCAGGAUGACUCAUCGGGGCUUUGAUCACUCACUCAAUAAGUGUCACAAAGUAUUGGUCCAAAGAAAAGGUCAGUCUUUCUGACAUUCACACUCUAUGUAUUUUUGCUCUUUUUAUUGCUCUCUUGUUUUGUUUCUUAGUCAUUUUAACAGCUACUAAUUAAAAUUGGGCAAUUCUC